rnacentral:miRNA from 1 species
ACGCUCAUUCAAGACCAUGACA